CUGCACGCGGCGCUGCCAUUUCUAGAGUUCCUGAGAAAAGGGUUUUCUUGUGUAGGGUUUGCUUUGGUUAUUCCCCCCCCCACACACCCCCUUUGUAGGCAACAAAAGAAGAAUGGAACUUCCUGAAUCUUAGGAUCUACAAUUAUGCCACCGGAUCUAAAGGGAAAGGGGAAAAUGAAGACACGAGUCGCUGUUUCUGUUUAUUCAGAUUCUUCGGAGGACACUGGCUUCACAGGAGGAAGUACCCUGAGAAUCACAGUGAGCCACGGUGUGGACGAAGACUCAGGGCCCAGGGCUCAGAGCUUUCAGUGUGUGGCCCGGGGAAAGCCGCAGCACUUCUCUGACCCUCAAUUUCUGGAUCCGUGAAAUGGACAUAAUACCUGCCCUGCUUACCUUACUGCAUUGCCAGAAGAACAGCGCCGAGUGAAGUUUGUGAACAGUGAAAUUUCAUGCGUGUCACGAGUACAAUAGGAUUGUGAUAUCAGUGUCACGCUCAAAAACACACUCUGGAAGGUUGGUUUGUGGUUAAAAAUGAUUCAGACUGAGAGAGAGAUUAUAAAGGCCGCGGAGAUUUACAAAUAGAUCGGUGAGAUCACAGCAGGCACGGAAGGGCACUUUUGAGCCGAUGGUGGAGACACUGAACAGGAAGUCUGGCAGUGGCACCAGAGGAGGAAGAGGUGUUGCUGGGUGCUACUGGAGGAAGCUGGAGGAUUUGUUCCCUGACAUGCAGGGGAAAGCGGUUGAGGAAACAGCUUAUGCUGUGAGCUUAUGAUUUCGUGAGUCACUGUACCAUCCAUGUUGAAGGUCACAUGCAAAAGCCAGAGACAGGAAUAGGUGCGCCUUGCCGAGGUGAUGACCGUGCCCGAGGACCUGUGGAGAAGACACGCGGGGCUGGGUGGUCCAGGAAGUGAAAUGAGUUGGACACUCCAGGCAGGUUCUGAGAAAGCCCAGCAAGAGGCCGUGGGAGGAGGUCAGAAUGAGCAACCGAUAUCUGGGCAGAGGCAGCUGACGGCUGUGGUCGGAGGCCAAGAAAACCAGUUCUGAAGGAGCUGGAAUCCUAGGCAAGGUGGCAAGGAUGCCGCUUGGCAGGGAAGGAAACCUGGCAGUCACCCUGGAACAGAACCAGAACUGCAGGGCUCCGGGAGGCUUGAUGCCUGGGAGAGAGAAAGGAGGACUGUGUUUAGGUCUUGCUCCUCCAGACAGCAGGUUGGGAUAGCAGGAUCCUUGAGAGGUGGGACAUAUCUCAUUCCUCUCUGUAGCCUCGCUACCUAGCACAGUGCCUGGCCUAUGGAAGGCACUCAGCCAGUGUUCGUUGGAAUGAACUGACAGAUUGAUGAACAGCAAAUGAAUAAGGCCAAAUUCAAGAUUCCCAACGAGCUUGGAAUUUUUAUUCCCUCUUUUGGUGGCUUUUGACUGCCUUAGGCUCUUUUCUAGUGCCAUAUAGCUAAUGCCAGGACUACCCUCAGUGUCCCUCCUGAGAACUCUUGGCCAUCUGGCAUGUCUCCAGUCUCCUUCCUUUCUCUUUAUAGGGUGUCUGCAUUCAAGAUGGCUGCGGUCCACUUAGUGGCUUGUUUCCAUGGCAACGUGCUUCUUCAUUAAGCUAUACCCAACCCCUCUCUAGUUACUAGCCUUUGCUGUACCUUAUUCAGUUCCCAGCCGUGUUUACAUCCUGUCCUGAUACAGAAUGUCUUUCAUUAAGGGAACAUUGUCUUCUCAGAAUUAACUUAAAAAAUGCACUUAAACACANACAUUAUACGAAGUUAUACGAUGCCCUGCUUACCUUACUGCAUUGCCAGAAGAACAGCGCCGAGUGAAGUUUGUGAACAGUGAAAUUUCAUGCGUGUCACGAGUACAAUAGGAUUGUGAUAUCAGUGUCACGCUCAAAAACACACUCUGGAAGGUUGGUUUGUGGUUAAAAAUGAUUCAGACUGAGAGAGAGAUUAUAAAGGCCGCGGAGAUUUACAAAUAGAUCGGUGAGAUCACAGCAGGCACGGAAGGGCACUUUUGAGCCGAUGGUGGAGACACUGAACAGGAAGUCUGGCAGUGGCACCAGAGGAGGAAGAGGUGUUGCUGGGUGCUACUGGAGGAAGCUGGAGGAUUUGUUCCCUGACAUGCAGGGGAAAGCGGUUGAGGAAACAGCUUAUGCUGUGAGCUUAUGAUUUCGUGAGUCACUGUACCAUCCAUGUUGAAGGUCACAUGCAAAAGCCAGAGACAGGAAUAGGUGCGCCUUGCCGAGGUGAUGACCGUGCCCGAGGACCUGUGGAGAAGACACGCGGGGCUGGGUGGUCCAGGAAGUGAAAUGAGUUGGACACUCCAGGCAGGUUCUGAGAAAGCCCAGCAAGAGGCCGUGGGAGGAGGUCAGAAUGAGCAACCGAUAUCUGGGCAGAGGCAGCUGACGGCUGUGGUCGGAGGCCAAGAAAACCAGUUCUGAAGGAGCUGGAAUCCUAGGCAAGGUGGCAAGGAUGCCGCUUGGCAGGGAAGGAAACCUGGCAGUCACCCUGGAACAGAACCAGAACUGCAGGGCUCCGGGAGGCUUGAUGCCUGGGAGAGAGAAAGGAGGACUGUGUUUAGGUCUUGCUCCUCCAGACAGCAGGUUGGGAUAGCAGGAUCCUUGAGAGGUGGGACAUAUCUCAUUCCUCUCUGUAGCCUCGCUACCUAGCACAGUGCCUGGCCUAUGGAAGGCACUCAGCCAGUGUUCGUUGGAAUGAACUGACAGAUUGAUGAACAGCAAAUGAAUAAGGCCAAAUUCAAGAUUCCCAACGAGCUUGGAAUUUUUAUUCCCUCUUUUGGUGGCUUUUGACUGCCUUAGGCUCUUUUCUAGUGCCAUAUAGCUAAUGCCAGGACUACCCUCAGUGUCCCUCCUGAGAACUCUUGGCCAUCUGGCAUGUCUCCAGUCUCCUUCCUUUCUCUUUAUAGGGUGUCUGCAUUCAAGAUGGCUGCGGUCCACUUAGUGGCUUGUUUCCAUGGCAACGUGCUUCUUCAUUAAGCUAUACCCAACCCCUCUCUAGUUACUAGCCUUUGCUGUACCUUAUUCAGUUCCCAGCCGUGUUUACAUCCUGUCCUGAUACAGAAUGUCUUUCAUUAAGGGAACAUUGUCUUCUCAGAAUUAACUUAAAAAAUGCACUUAAACACAUUAUGGUAUGACUUUUUUUUUCCAACUAGAAAUAUAAAAUUUCUCCACAACUUCUGUGCCAAAAAAUUAAGUUUCCUUGUCAGCCGUUUUCACUGGCUCUUUUCAAAGCUGUUUCCUCCACACAUAGUGUAUGCCAGCCCUGGAAAGAGUCUCCGGGAGAAGCUUGUGGCUCCCAACAUAAUGUCUGGCUCUCACAUUUUCACCUACAUCUGGGGACUCUGCCCCCUGCUGGUCGUUGUCAUGAUUAUAAUUGCCAGCAGUCUCGCCCUCAGUACUGACGAAUAUGAACACUAACUCAAGAAAAUAGAGGAACAAGAGUCACAGUGCACAUUUAAUUUUGUUACCGUGUCAUUUUUAUUAGACCCAUCCAUUUCUGUUUUUAAGGCUCCUGACGUGGUUUUCAUCACUUUAAUGAAGAAGGCUCUAUCUGACCCAUUAUUAGAAUCCAUCUUGCUCUACUCACAGAGUGUGGCUUGCCCGUAGCUUUUUUCUCAGCUGUAAACUUGUAAGACUCAAGAAACACCGAGGUGGUGCCCACUACUGCCAGUUCAAGUUCUACCUUUCUUUUUGACAUGGAUUUUCACAUCCGCUGGCAGAAUUUCUGCCAUGCAAUCGCCACUUGCAGCCAGUGAGGGUAGGCUUGUCCUUGGUCCAACAGCUAGUCCCAUUUCUCAGUUGGGGCCCGUCACCACUAUUCCUCACCUUCCCAUGAAGCACCAUAUUGAUUCCCACAUUCGGUAUCUCCCACUUACUAGGCCUCUCAUGGCUCAGCUCGGUGCAUUGCCAAGAUCUUCCACCCAGAUCCUUUCCUCAAAGCUCAGUGGGACUCUACACAGCAGAACAUUCAUUGUGGCUAGGGUAUAAACCCAAGUUCCUUAGAACAGCUUGAAAAUCCAGUUUUGAUUUCCCCUGCUCUUUCCAUGCCUGCAUUUAGAGCUAAAGUGCACCAGCGGAUAUGCAAAGUUCAUCCUAACCGUGCAGUUGUGCUAUGACCAAUUUAGAAAAAAAACAUUGUCUAAAGAGGUGGUUCUGUAUACUGUGCGUGGUGUAAUUCUUAUAGGGAAAGUGAAAGUCUUUGUCGUACUGGCUUGAUCCGUGUCCCCUUCAAAAAUACAUUUCAGUCCUUAAUCCCUGACACCCUGAACGUGACCUUAUUUGGAAUUGAGUCUCUGAAGGUAUCAUCAAAUGAAAAUGAGAUCAUAGUGGAUUAUGGUGGGCCCUAGUCCAAUGACGGCUGUUCCUAUAAUAAGUGAGAAUAGGAAAGAAACCUGUCAGUGUGAAGACAGAAGAGAACGUGGAGUUAAGCUCCCAUAAGCCAAGGAAUGCAGAAGAUUGCCAGCAACCACCCAGAAGGUAGAAGAGACAAGGAAGGAUUCUUCUGUAGAGACUUUAUUCAGCUUCUAGCUGCGAGAGUGUACAUUUCUGUUGUUUUAAGGCACUCAGUUUGUGAUAAUUUAUUAUAGCAGCCCUAGCAAACAAUACAUUCACCAACCAGAAAACUAGAAAGAGGUGAGAGGUUCGACUCUCAAAUGUUGUCAUCGUUUUGCCUCCAAUGUUCAGCUUCCCCCAAGGAUAGAUGGGAAUUUGCCCAUUUGGUUCUUGGAAGAGAAUACUUUCUGUACUUUUGGACAUAAGGGGAAAAAAAAUGCAGCGAUUUCUUUCUCCCCUGACAUUGGUAACGUUAUUACCCAUAAUGCAUUAGACACUUAGAUUUGAGAUACUACCUAAAUAUUUACAGCUCUUCCUAGAGUGUGACUGCGUGAUAUCCCAAAGAGAGGCUACUUGUGAACCACCCCUGACCGCACCACAGCCUGCCGGACCCUCCUCUGGUGCCCAGCUAAUGAAUUAAAUGUGGCUGCUUGAGUGGUUUCAUUAGCCUGCGAGGGCGGCAAAGCAACUUGGAGGUUGGAUGUGAUAAGUAAUGCAGGUUACAAAUGGCCAUUAAAUGUUCUUCCAAGGAAAAUUGCUGAACAAAAUGCUUUUAAACUUAUUCUUUAUUUUUUGUCUUUGGAGAAAGAGUUCUAGAGCUGGGGGCGAUGGAGAAGCUCAAAUAGGGAUGGAUCCAAAUCCACUGGUUUGGUAGAGAAAUGAUAGGAGCAGUCAGCACUGGUCAGAAGGGAAAUUUAAGGGAUGUGGCAGCAGUAGAAUUGGUCGGACGUUGCACAGAAGCAGAGUUACAAACAAGGCUGACUCCUAGGCUGAGGAAAUCUGAAAAACUUUUGGGUCACUGAGUGUGGUAGGGAAUUCAAGAUCAAGAAAAGCAAGAAAGAGGAAGUGAAGAGGAGGGUCUGUCAGACUCACGGGCUAAUAAAACUUGGCGGAGCCCUCAUAAUCAUUGGCUCCAAGUGCCACAUCCUACGGACGAGACCACUUGGGGCCCAGAGAGAUGAAGCGGUCAACCAGAGUUCCACGGCUAGCAAACGGGUAGAGCCAAAAUCAGAAUCCAAGGCCCCUCUCAUAAUCCAAAUUAGAGACCAAGAACUGGAGAAAGACCUAUGGAUGUAGAUUUUGUAGAACCCCACUUUCUAGCUGGCAACCCACAAAGGAGAAUAUAUGGAACAGAGAUGACAAACCACAAACUCAUGCUUUGACCUUUACUCUAGUUUUUAAAAUUAGUAGUUAAAUUUGUUUCUAACACCCAAAGGUCAGGUGAGUUCCCAUGGCACUCUAGGUUGCUGGCUGCUCCGGGAAAAGUCAGUUGGUCUGUGAGAAACUAAGGAAGAGCUCCUUCGUGUCAGAUGGGCCACAGGCUGGUGUACCUGCCCACCUGGCGGGCUUCACAGCUGAUAUCCCCCACCUGGCCCCGCUGGACCCUGGAGUUCACAACCCCUGGGAGAGGGGAAGAAAGGCAGGGGUCCUGAGCCUGCGGCUGAGAAGCAGAAUUGGAAAUGGCAGAGGGUGAAGGGAAGGAACCUGAAGACAAGAAGGCCCAGGGAGCCUAGGUCACAGAAGCAAAGGUCUCGUCCAGAAAUCCAGGGGACGGGACGGGCUUUUCAUCUAUUUUUGGAUAAAGUAACAGGAUGUGGAAACCAAAAAAAGUGGGCAGUUCUCUGAUCCUGCACAAUGGUGAUGACUUAUGCAAAACAUCCUCUUUCCUAUUUUUAACUAGAUCACAGAAGCUGCGUCAGAGGGCUCGUUGCUGACUAAUCCUGUUGUGGUGCCUUUCUCUGAAUUGCAUAAAUGCCAUCUACAUAGGCGAAAGAACAUUUGAGAAGGGGAAAAAAGUCUGUAAAGACUAUUGCACACAGGGCAUUCUUAUAAAUAGUAUUCUGAGUGAGAUCAGGGUGUUCUGGGCCACCACUUUCUGGAAGUUGUCUAGGAUUUCAUGGUUGAAUGAUGCGGACAUUCAGAGGAAACUAUUCAUUUAAUUCAAGCUGAAUCAGUGAUCCCGCGACAGUUUUGUACUCCAUAGCGACAACUCUUUUUCAGUAGGUAACACGGAGAAUUAUGCCGAUUUUUCAGCAAAAUUAUUUUCUAGUUGUAUAAAUAUCCCUGUGCCAGGAAUACGUCUUUUAUUGGAGAAAAGGACUCAGGAAUGAGAGUGAAGGGUUCUCAAUGCUUUAUAAGCAAGAACCACAUGGUGACAACGGCAGGGCUUUUUACUGAGACGGAGCUGUUGCAGAUGCUGUGAGGGCCCUGCUCCAACCCCACCCCCCCACCCCUGCUUCAGUGCUCUCCAACUGACCGCCAGCUGCCAAUCUCUGUGUCCCUUUGCCCGGGGGCUUUUUUCAUAACCGAGGAAAGCCAGCGUGCCAAGGAAUGAAAACCACCCAAAAGCAGCAGCAGCCCCAACCGGCAACUGGUAGGAGUUGGUGUAUAAAUACCCUAGUCCCUAGCAUGACCCCUCGCAUGGGGUCUACAAGCCAUUUAAGACACAGAGUAAGUAGGCUGCUGGCUUUGCAAGGCAAAUACCUUGCUAGAGUAAUGCAGUAAUAUUAUUGCUUUGUUUUCUGAGUGUGUGUGUGUGUGUGUGUGUGUGUGUAGUAUGUAUAGUUUAUAUAUAUAUAAACUAUAUAUAGAGAGAGCUUGUAUAUAUAUGUAUGUUUAUAUAUGUAGUAGUAUGUAUAGUUCGUAUAUGUAUAUAUGAAAUGUAUAUACUCUGUGCAUAAUGUAUAUGUAUAUAAUCUGUGUAUAUAACAAAUAAUGUAUAUGGUGUGUGUGUGCAUAUGGUACUUUAUACUUUGGAAGAUAAUACUGUUUUCCACUUGCAAUGGUGCUUAUAAAGCUUCUUUUCAGAAUGAACUUGUUUGGGUAAAAAUGCUGAAUUGAUUUAAAGAACAUUUAAGUAAAUGAUAGAGUAUAACCUCUACCAAUAUGCCACAAAAGUGUAGAGGUUGUGCAUGAAUGACUAAAGCCACACUGGUGUCUUCCCGCUCUCUUCUGCAGAUCCCUCAGGUGCCUCAGAGACUGCCAAGGCAGGGAAGAAGAGUGACAGUGGCUUCAGGUCACCCGCCUCUCCUUCAAGCAAGGCAUCCUGGUGUACUGGCCUGGGAAUCGGUGAUCUAAGGAGUGAACUAGGGGAAGGGAUCUACCAUUUCAAAGAACAAUAGUUCACAAGUUUGAAAUGUUCAGAUGGAGUCCAGCACUCAAUUUAUCAAGAACUUGAGACCAAGAGAGUUUAAAUGACAUUUCUCAGCUCCCGUACGGAGUUUGUGACAGAGCUGGGACAUGGGCCCAUUCACGUGACCCCCAUCCAUGCUCUUCUGACUGUGCUCCCUCCCUCAGAGGCAGGGCUCAGGUAGGGCUUCAAAGGCAGGAGAAAGCAGGGCAGGGAGUGGGGAGAGAAGAUCCUGGAGAGCACAGCUCUGCAGGGGAAUCAGGUGACACUUUCCCGGGGCCAGGCAGGGAGAGCUUUUUAAUAAAGGAAGGUGUUGGGCAGAGGGGGAACAAGGAAUACAGUGGGGAAACAUGUCGGGAUCAGAGGAGAAGGAGCUUGAAUGCCUGGUGGGGGGAGUGUGAACUCACAGGAAGUGUGGAUCCGGGUCUCUGAGCUGGGAAGGGACGCAUGAAAGCCAUGCUUUGGGAGGCAGCACUGUAGAGAGCAACUAGGUUCAAAUACUGCUUCCAGAGCCACUUACUUAGCCUCUCUGUGCUUUAGCUUCUUCUAACACACCCAAAACGGUAUCUGGUACCUAUUAAGGGCUCAGUAAUGAGCCCUACUAAGGGCUAUUAUGAUGUUUUCUAUGAAGGACUGAAUAGUGCCAAGAGAGGGAAGUGGCCUGGCUGAGCUAGGUAGUAGCAGAGACAGAAUUAGAAAUCAGGACUGAUUUCUAAUUCAACACUCUUUUUCUCUGCAUCUUGUUUUAAAAUGAUGUCUUGUUUAUUUUCUUGUCUGCGUUAGCAUUUCCACUUGCAAAACAUAAUGCCUUUAUUUAGUACAAACAUACCUCCACAAUGGUUUCCUUUUGGAAAAACAAUUUCGAUCGAUGAUUUCUCUCACUCCCUAAUUAAUAUACCACAGUUAGAGUGAGCACUGCCUGCUUUGACAAAGCAGGGCUUUCAAUUUUCAGAUCUUCAGCCACUAACAGGGGAGUCUGACUUUAAACGGUAUGAACUUGAGUAUGACAUUUAAAUUUUAAUAACUGUUCUGGUUGCUUCUUUGUGUCUGGAGAAAAUAACGUUUAUUUUGACCAAAUGCUAUCUUUUCCCUUUUUUCAUCAGAUAAAUCAUACUUAUGACCUGAGAGCUUCUGUUGUUCUUUAUGAUUCACUGAUCAACCGUGAACGAAGAAACAAAUGCUGGAAUUUUGGUGACAGCAUAUUGGUGAUUCUCUCCAGGAGACUGCGGUCUCGCAAAGAAUCAGAGACCAAGGGAGGGCAGCUUCCUCAGAGAUUCUGUAGCCCAGCUCAUCCAUCUUCAUAGAUGACAAAACUCAGCUCAGAAAGAUGAGUUGAAUUUUGCAAAGUCAUCUGGCUAUUUGGUGGUAAGAGGGAUUUUGAACCCAUUUGUUUUUUUGACUUGGAGUCCCCAUUGCAUCAUGUCCUGCAUCAACUCAUGCAUUUCUAAAAAGUCUUCCUGUAUUAUUAGGCAGGCAAAUCCAGCUUGUUGCUUGGUUUUGCAAAUAAAGUUUUAUUGAAACACAGUCCCUUCACAAAAGAUGUCUGCCGAUCCCUG
rnacentral:lncRNA from 1 species